UCUUCAAUAACAUUCGCCAGGUGAUAGGAAUGAUUAGUUAUAUGAUAGUUUGCUUUACAAACACUUCUGGAAAGCUCAAAUAACUGUUCCACUUCUAACGAUGAUGCUGUUUGGGAUUCACCAGCCCACAAGAUAGUGGUGAAAUGAUGCUGAAAAUCGCAAUGACAGGAUCCAUAUUCCCAUCCUUUUGGUUGGACUUGAGCAUAUUCAUGUCCAUUUCAGCCAUCUUAUUAUCAAUGCAGAGGACGUC